CUCGGUCCAAUUAGAGGAAGUAAAAGUCGUAACAAGGUCUCCGUUGGUGAACCAGCGGAGGGAUCAUUACCGAGUUUACAACUCCCAAACCCAAUGUGAACGUUACCAAACUGUUGCCUCGGCGGGAUCUCUGCCCCGGGUGCGUCGCAGCCCCGGACCAAGGCGCCCGCCGGAGGACCAACCAAAACUCUUAUUGUAUACCCCCUCGCGGGUUUUUUUUAUAAUCUGAGCCUUCUCGGCGCCUCUCGUAGGCGUUUCGAAAAUGAAUCAAAACUUUCAACAACGGAUCUCUUGGUUCUGGCAUCGAUGAAGAACGCAGCGAAAUGCGAUAAGUAAUGUGAAUUGCAGAAUUCAGUGAAUCAUCGAAUCUUUGAACGCACAUUGCGCCCGCCAGUAUUCUGGCGGGCAUGCCUGUCCGAGCGUCAUUUCAACCCUCGAACCCCUCCGGGGGGUCGGCGUUGGGGAUCGGCCCUGCCUUGGCGGUGGCCGUCUCCGAAAUACAGUGGCGGUCUCGCCGCAGCCUCUCCUGCGCAGUAGUUUGCACACUCGCAUCGGGAGCGCGGCGCGUCCACAGCCGUUAAACACCCAACUUCUGAAAUGUUGACCUCGGAUCAGGUAGGAAUACCCGCUGAACUUAAGCAUAUCAAUAAGCGGAGGA
rnacentral:rRNA from 1 species